rnacentral:rRNA from 1 species
CGUGAGUAACCUGCCUUGGAUGGGGAAUAACAGCUGGAAACAGCUGCUAAUACCGCAUAAUAUAUCUGGGUCGCAUGGCUCUGGAUAUCAAAGAUUUAUCGCUCUGAGAUGGACUCGCGUCUGAUUAGCUAGUUGGUGGGGCAACGGCCCACCAAGGCGACGAUCAGUAGCCGGACUGAGAGGUUGGCCGGCCACAUUGGGACUGAGACACGGCCCAGACUCCUACGGAAGGCAGCAG